AAGUAGUGGCGAGCGAACGCGGAAGAGGCCAAACCGAGAGUAGUAAUACUUUCGGGGUUCGGACAGAAAACGGUAUUGUAAAGGUUUAGUGGAAUGGAAUGGGAAGUCCAACCGAAGAAGGUGAGAGUCCUGUACACGAAAAGCCUGAACAGCCAUCUGUAUCCAGAGUACCGCCGGACACGUGAAACCCGGUGGGAAUACGGGGGGACCAUCCUCCAAGCCUAAAUACUACUCGGUGACCGAUAGUGAAGAAGUACUGUGAAGGAAAGGUGAAAAGUACCCCUGACGGGGAGUGAAAAAGAACCUGAAACCUUGUGUUUACAAGCACCGAAAGCUCAUCAAAGAGCGAUCGGGUACCUUUUGUAGAAUGGUCCGGCGAGUGAAUGUAACCGGCGAGGUUAAGCACUUAAGGUGUGAAGCCGCAGCGAGAGCAAGUCUGAAUAGGGCGUAUGAAGUCGGUUGUAUUCGACCCGAAACCGGGUGACCUACCCAUGGUCAGGUUGAAGUAAAGGUAAAACUUUAUGGAGGACCGAACCGACUCCCGUUGAAAUGGUAGCGGAUGAACUGUGGGUAGCGGAGAAAUUCCAAUCGAACCCGGAGAUAGCUGGUUCUCUCCGAAAUAGCUUUAGGGCUAGCCUUGAAAUAGAUUACCGGAGGUAAAGCACUGAAUUGGCUAGGGGCCGAGAGGUUACUGAACCUUAUCAAACUAAGAAUGCCGGAUAAUCGUUUUUCAGGAGUCAGACAGUGGGAGAUAAGUUUCAUUGUCAAAAGGGAAACAGCCCAGACCCACAGCUAAGGUCCCCAAGUAUAGUUAAGUGGAAAAGGAUGUGGAAUUGCACAGACAACCAGGAUGUUGGCUUAGAAGCAGCCACUCAUUAAAAGAGUGCGUAAUAGCUCACUGGUCGAGUGACUCUGCGCCGAAAAUUUAACGGGGCUAAACUAUACACCGAAGCUUGGGAUACAUCUAAUGUAUGGUAGGAGAGCGUUCUGUAUGGGGAGAAGUCGUAGCGAAAGCGGCGGUGGACUAUACAGAAGUGAGAAUGCCGGAAUAAGUAGCGAGAAUUAAGUGAGAAUCUUAAUGGCCGAAAGUCUAAGGUUUUUGGAGGAAGGUUCGUCCGCUCCAAGUAAGUCGGGAGCUAAGGUCAGGCCGAAAGGCGUAGCCGAUGCACAUACGGUUGAUAUUCCGUAACCAUCUGUAAUUUAAGCAAAGGGACACUUCAAAAGGGUGUGACCCGGGCGUUGGUUGACCCGGGCGUAAGGGACCGAAAUUAGAGUAGGGAAGCACACUUAGCUGAAGGCGAGAAAAGCUUUGCGUAUAGAAACAGAUGCCCGUACCGCAAACCGACACAGGUGGACAGGAAGAGAAUUCUAAGGCCAGCGGGAGAAGGGUAGUUAAGGAACUCGGCAAAUUGACUCCGUAACUUCGGAAUAAGGAGUGCUCGAAAGAGCCGCAGAGAAUAGGCCCAGGCGACUGUUUAGCAAAAACACAGGUCUCUGCCAAAUCGAAAGAUGAAGUAUAGGGGCUGACACCUGCCCGGUGCCGGAAGGUUAAGAGGAGGAGUGAGAGCUCCGAAUUGAAGCCCCGGUAAACGGCGGCCGUAACUAUAACGGUCCUAAGGUAGCGAAAUUCCUUGUCGGGUAAGUUCCGACCCGCACGAAUGGUGUAACGAUCUGGGCACUGUCUCAACUACCCACCCGGCGAAAUUGUAGUACCGGUGAAGAUGCCGGUUACCUGCGGCAAGACGGAAAGACCCCAUGGAGCUUUACUGUAGCCUGAUAUUGGGUUUCGGAAAUCUAUGUACAGGAUAGGCGGGAGACUAGGAAACAUGAGCGUCAGCUUGUGUGGAGUCGAUGUUGGGAUACCGCCCUUAGGUUUCUGGAAUUCUAACCUGCGGCCGUGAAUCCGGUCGGGGGACAUUGUCAGGUGGGCAGUUUGACUGGGGCGGUCGCCUCCGAAAAGGUAACGGAGGCGCUCAAAGGUUAGCUCAGCACGGACGGAAACCGUGCCUCUGAGUGUAAACGCAAAAGCUAGCCUAACUGCGAGGGUGACGGCCCGAGCAGUAACGAAAGUUGGAGUUAGUGAUCCGGCGGUAUGUGAAUGGAAAUGCCGUCGCUCAACGGAUAAAAGCUACCCUGGGGAUAACAGGCUGAUCUCCCCCAAGAGUCCACAUCGACGGGGAGGUU
rnacentral:rRNA from 1 species